rnacentral:rRNA from 1 species
UCGGGAAUUUUGGGCAAUGGGCGAAAGCCUGACCCAGCAACGCCGCGUGAGGGAUGAAGUAUUUCGGUAUGUAAACCUCGAAAGAAUGGGAAGAAUAAAUGACGGUACCAUUUAUAAGCUCCGGCUAACUACGUGCCAGCAGCCGCGGUAAUACGUAGGGAGCAAGCGUUGUUCGGAUUUACUGGGCGAAAAGGGCGCGUAGGCGGCGCGGUAAGUCACUUGUGAAAUCUCUGAGCUUAACUCAGAACGGCCAAGUGAUACUGCUGUGCUAGAGUGCGGAAGAGNAAACCGGAAUUCUUGGUGUAGCGGUGAAAUGCGUAGAUAUCAAGAGGAACACCUGAGGCGAAGGCUGGUUGCUGGGCCGACACUGACGCUGUUGCGCGAAAGCCAGGGGAGC